rnacentral:rRNA from 1 species
UACGUAGGGGGCAAGCGUUGUCCGGAUUUAUUGGGCGUAAAGAGCGUGUAGGCGGCUUGGUAGGUCCGCUGUGAAAACUCGAGGCUCAACCUCGAGAUGUCGGCGGAAACCACUUGGCUAGAGUCCGGAAGAGGAGAGUGGAAUUCCCGGUGUAGCGGUGAAACUGCGCAGAUAUCGGGAAGAACACCCGUGGCGAAGGCGGCUCUCUGGGACGGUACUGACGCUGAGACGCGAAAGCGUGGGGAGCGAACAGG